rnacentral:sRNA from 1 species
AUAUCUCUCUGUACGGGAAGGAUGAGAAGCUUCGACUAAGGUUCGAUUAGAGCGCAGCGAGAAAGCGUUGCCGCAGGCAACGACCCGAAGGGCGAAGCGCGCAGCGCUGAGUCAUCCUUCCCCCACCACCA